GCAAUAGCUCAGUUGGUAGAGCAUGGGGCUCAUAACCUCAGGGUUAUGGGUUCGAGUUCGAUAUUGGACA